rnacentral:rRNA from 1 species
AUGAGCAAGUCCUCCCUUACUCCACCCGGGGUGUCCAUGGAGCUGCACGCCGGCAACCGCGAGCGCCUCGUCGCCGCGCUCAGCGCCCACCUCUCCGCCUCCGCCCGCCCUCUCCGUGGCGUCGCCUUUCUCAAGGGCGGCGAGGAGCAGACUCGUUACUGCAGCGACUAUGUCGAGCUCUUCAGGCAGGAGAGCUACUUCGCUUAUCUGUUCGGAGUGCAAGAGCCGGGGUUCUAUGGUGCAGUCGACAUUGCCUCUGGACAAUCAAUUUUAUUUGCUCCAAGGUUGUCACCUGGCCACGCUGUUUGGAUGGGUGUAAACACAUUACCUUACUUCAAGGAUAGGUACAAGGUCGAUUUUGUGUUCUAUGUUGAUGAGCUUGCACAGGUUCUCCAAAGUCAAUUUAGUGAGCAUGGAGAGACGCCCCUUCUCUUUCUCUUAUAUGGCAAGAAUACUGACAGCGGAAAUUACUCAAAGCCUGCUAGUUUUGAGGGGAUAGAGAAAUUUGACACUGAUUUAAGCACGCUUCAUCCUCUCUUAACUGAAUGUCGUGUUAUAAAAUCUGACAUGGAGCUUGCCCUCAUUCAAUAUGCUAAUGAUGUCAGCUCAGAAGCACACAUUGAGGUUAUGAGGCAGAUAAAACCAGGCAUGAAGGAGUAUCAGUUAGAAAGCAUCUUUGUUGGUGCAUCUAGGUACAGAGGCUGUCGACAUUGCUCCUACACAUGUAUAUGUGCUACUGGAGAGAACAGUUCCAUUCUUCAUUAUGGACAUGCGGGAGCUCCAAAUGACCGGACGUUGAAUGAUGGAGACAUGGCUCUAAUGGACAUGGGAGCUGAAUACAAUUUCUAUGGUUCUGACAUCACAUGUUCAUACCCCAUAAAUGGAAAAUUCAACAGAAACCAGACAGUGAUAUACAAUGCUGUCCUUAAGGCUCAUAAUGAUGUGAUAUCACAUAUGCAGCCUGGAGUAAAAUGGAUCGAUAUGCACAAGCUGGCAGAGCAGACAAUACUCGAGUCCCUAAAGAAAGAAAAUAUUAUUCAUGGUGAUAUUGCUGCAAUGAUGAACCGAAGGUUGGGUGCUGUUUUCAUGCCUCAUGGUCUUGGGCAUUUACUUGGAAUUGACACCCAUGAUCCCGGAGGCUACCCCGAGGGCUUAGAGAGGCCAAAGGAGCCAGGAUUGAGAUCCUUGCGGACCAUCAGAGAACUUAAAGAAGGCAUGGUUAUUACGGUCGAGCCCGGCUGUUAUUUCAUCGACACUUUACUGAGGCAUGCCAGGGAUGACCCAAUUUCCUCAAAGUUUUUCAACUGGGAGAAGAUAGAAAUUUACAAAAGCUCUGGUGGUGUUCGCGUUGAAAGUAAUAUGUAUGUGACGGCACAAGGAUGCAAGAACCUGACUAACUGCCCCCGAGAGAUCAGGGAAAUUGAAGCGGUAAUGGCUGGCGCGCCUUGGCAUUCACGUGACACCCUUUCCAGUACAGAGAAUGCCUCCCCAAAGCACUUCAAUUUGCCAUGCCCUUGA